rnacentral:lncRNA from 1 species
CCGGGGUCUGGGUGCUGCCCGCCGGAAAAGGCGUCCUACGCUCAGGGGGUUGACCGCUAGGGAGACUGUAGGGACAACGCUUGGGGACUUGGCGCACCGAGUGACCGCAAGGUCAUCGCUUACGUGUCCGCGACUCGCGAGAAGCCGCUGUUUCCCUGUCAUUCCUCACUCCAUGCUUUCAGCUCUGCUCUCCCAAGCCUGAGGGCGACAAGAAGCCCUGAGAAUGGACAUAGGGCCUAAAACUCUGAGAGGAGCCGGGGCGGUGGUGGCGCCCACCUUUAAUCCCAGCACUUGGGAGACAGAAGCAGGCGGAUCUCAAUCUGAGGACUUUAAAUGGAUUCAAGUUAGAACCUUAAAGGAAUUAAUCCAAAAGCAACCAGGCCACAAUCCAGUACUGAGGAAGUGGAGACAGGAGGAUCAGGAGUUCUCAUCUCACAUGUUCUUGGCCUGGGUGACUUAGACCCUGUGUGAAAAUUAAAAAGUGAAAAAAGCCAGAUGUGGUAGCAUAUUACUCUAAUCUCAACACUUGGAGGUUGAAGCAGGAGGAUUACAGCAUGGCUACAGUGGAACAAUGUCUCAAAAAAAAAAAAAAAAAAACGUGAAAAGCUGUGGGGUUUUCUUGCUAGCCAGAGCACAUGUGGCUUACGAAGGAAUGUUGAGUGUAAGGGAUCCUGAUAGCCCAGUUGUGAAUUGACACAAGGAGCUAGAGUGCCAGACAUGGUCAGAUUGGCCUGGGAAAAUGGCUCCAAGCUGGUUGUUUAAGGUCUAUGAAGAUUAAAGACACAGGCACUUGUAGGAGUGAAGUGAAGACAAGUUUUAUUAAAGAGGAUUACAAGUAAGACAGAGGGCCAAAGAGAUGGCUCUGUGAGUAAAGACUUGCCAUUCAAGCUUGGCAACCUGAAUCCAACCUGGAACUAACAUAAGGGUGGAAAGAGAACCAACUCACAAAGUUGUCCUCUGACCUCCAUAUGAGUAUGGCGCAUGCAUCUACACACGAUAAUUGUAAUUUUUUAAAGCUAAAAAAAAGGAAAAUUGAGGGAGACUCCCUAUAUACUUCCUAUUUACUACAGAAGAAAAGCAACACGUUUGGCAUCAGUGAGUGGUGGGGCAGGUAACGAAGCUGUCCUACAAUUUAGUGUGCUCUAAUUACCUGCAUUGGAGAGACAGAAAAGGGCAGAUCAGGCAGUGGUUGUGUACACCUUUAAUCCUAGUACCUGGAAGGUGGGGGCAGGAGGAUAUCUGAGUUCAAGGCCAGCCUGGCCUACAGAGUUUCAAGACAGGACUACACAGAGAAACCCUGUCUCGAAAAACCAAAUGGGGAGAGGGCAAUAAUGCCUAGCAUCCAGCAGGCCAACUAACACUGACCUUAAUUCAUCAGGUCCCCUGGUUAUCUUAUAUCUGACUUCCAACUUCUUUGUCUCUCAUCCCUAGUGUUCUUGGCUUGUUUGAACACUCUCUCUCUCUCUCUCUCUCUCUCUCUCUCUCUCUCUCUCUCUGUGUGUUUAAGGAUUGCUUUGACUAUAACACAUUGCUGUCCCCCCAUUUGUUUUGUUUGUUAAGACAGAGUUCAUCGGGCAGGAGAGAUGGCUCAGUAUUAAGAGCACUGGCUGUUCUUCCAGAGGACCUGAGUUCAAUUCCCAGCAACUACAUGAUGGCUCACAACCACCUUGAUUGAGAUCUGCUGGCAUGCAGGCAGAAGACGGUAUACAUAAUAAAUAAAUAAAAUCUUAAAAAAAAAGACAGUACCUCUGUGUAGAUCAGCCUGGCCUUGAACUCACAGAGAUCCCCUUGCCUUUGCCUCCCAAGUUCUGGGAUUAAAAGCGUGUGCCACCACCGCUGCUGCUUGGACUCUUCAUUCUUUUAAAACUUGGGUCCAUUUCACUGCAAUAUGUAUGAACAACUUGCAGUUUUCACCACAGGCCCCUUUCCUUCCCUAACUAUAGAAGGCUGGUUCCUGCCCCCAGGGACCCUAGGUUCAAGCCUCAGAAUUUAAAAAGAAAAAUUUUGAGUAUAACUGAGACCUAUAAGUUAAGUUAGCCAGUGUCAUACAGCAUUAAUAGUGGAGGUACAAACAGAACCUAGUCUCAAUUCCCAUUUCAGGAAUGUUAGAGGCAACAAAUAAAUGUCUGCCUUGUGACACUUUCUAAAAAGCCACACUUGGCUUAAAAAUUCUGUAUACUUAUUUUGGAGAGUUGGAAUGUUGUAGAUCCAUAUCUCAGACUGUCUUUAGUUAGCUUAGUAGCCAUUUAUGACUCCCUCUGUCUCUGACUUAACAUCCUUUUGACCAUAGGGUAAAAUUUUUGGAAUGUGUUUGUACAUUCCCCAAUCAUAGCUUCCAUCAAUCCAAAAGCUGAGAAUGUCAACAGACAGCAGCUGAAUCCUAAAGCAGAGAUUUCCCCUACUUUGCUCUAACUCCCUACCCAACAGUGUCCCCACCAAUGUGUUUGGCAAGUGCAUUCAUGUGUGACCUACUCAGUGACUGAAAAGUUCACAUACAAUGAUGGUGCAUGCCUAUAAUCCCAGUACAUGGGAGGCUGAGGCAGAAGGACUGGGAGUUCAUGCUCAUCAGCUACAUGGUGAGUUUGAGGCCAGCCUUCUCUACAUGAGACCAUAUCUUUAAAAAAAAAUGCUCAGGUAACCACUACCAUGGUGAAAAGUCAUCUGGGACAAUUUGAAAGUGCUGGGAGGGCCCUGGUCACUCACAAUUGGCUGCAAAUACACCCCUUUCCUUAGGAGGGAGUGCCGUCCUGUGUCCACAGGCUCAAUACAAGAUGCCACUUAUGGUGCGUCUAAGUACAGUCACCAAACACCACCAUGAGCUGCAGUCUAAUCAUUCACUGAGUGGGGACACCUGGACUCUCCUUUCCGGUUUUCCUUAAGUGCCUAUUGUUCAAUGGAUUAUAAAAACAAAGGUACCUUUGCCAAGGAGUUAAAUUCUAGGGGACAGAGCCAGUGAGAUGGCUAACUUGGUAAACACACUCAACCAAGCCCAAUGACCUGAGACCCAGGUGGUAGGAGAGAACUGACAUCUGCAAGUUGUCCUCUGACCUCCAUGUGUGUGACACAGCACACACACACACAAAUGAAACAUUUUAAAAAUAGCUGGGUAGGCCCGGUGGUGGUUGCACACACCUUUAAUCCCAGCACUCGGGAGACAGAGGCAGGUGGAUCUGUG